UCCUGCACGAGCAAUGACUGCUCUCAUGGACAGUGGAGUCCAGAGCCGCCACGUCCAGGUGCGGAAGUGCGCGGCCCAACUCCUCCUGUCCUUGAUGGAGAAAACUGGAGUCACGAAGCUCGCAGGCACAGCCACCAGGGCGGGGAGGCUGAUUCACAUGGAGGUGAAGCUUACGCAGGACAAGGACACAAGGCAUUUAUGGGUGUGAGAUGGUGCAAAUGUUGAUGAUGCAUCAAAAACAUAAUAGGCUUUUGGAACAAUCUGUUUCCACCUGUGACCUGGGAGAUAUUCCAUCAAGAAUUAAGAAGGAAGGGAUGGAAACGCAGAAGGGUGAACGCCCAUCUGUCAAGAAGCCUGUGAAGAAGAGGAAUGAUGGCUCGAAGAAGCCCCAGGCUGAGGGGUUUUGCAGCAGCAGUGAGCUGGCAGAAGGGGGUUUUACCCCUUGCAUGCUGACACAAAAAAGCCCGAAGGUCAACGCUGAAACCCCUCUGGAAAGCGGCACUCAGUGCCCAACACACAA